GGGCAUAUUCACAAUUAAGACAAAAGUGAGGCCAUGACUUAAUUGUGCAGAAAAAGGGGCUGUCUUGAAAAUGUCACCGGCCGCCGGAAGGGAGCGGCGCCACCACCUUCGGUAACCCCACUCCCCAUCGGUCCCGCCGCCGCUGCCCAGCCCAACCCCGGCGACCGUACGGCCCCGCCGCAACGGACGAAUUCUCUCUCCUCCCCCGCCACCGCCACCGCCA
rnacentral:lncRNA from 1 species